CAUAUUGCGGCACCGUUUUUACUUGCAGCAGCUGCUGCUUGCGGAGGACAUCAGCCCACUGCGGCUCUCUGCAGUCUCUGGCCCGCUCCUGCAGGACCGGUCACUGCGGCCAUUGCUACUCUCUGCACCCCAGCCUGGCCACCGCUGCCUCUGUCCAGUUCUCACAGCCUCAGCACCGCCUUCAUCCUGGCAGCAGCCUCGACCGUCGCUCCCGGCUCCCGUAUCGCAGUCCGACCACUACCGCAAGUUCCACCUCUGCCCCAGCCACCGCCGCUUCUGAUAUUCCGGUGGUUGUGAUGUGAUCCCACAGAAUUAUAAAAUGAAAGUGGAACAAAAGCUCCUCUGCUCGUGACUUAUUCUUCCACUAUUGAACAUACCUCUUCCUUCGGAUUUUGGCUCAAAUAGUAUGCGGGCCUCACUGUUGUGGCCUCUCCCUUUGCAGAGCACAGGCUCCGGACGCGCAGGCCCAGUGGCCAUGGCUCAUGGGCCUAGCCGCUCCGUGGCAUGUGGGAUCUUCCCGGACCGGGGCAAAAACCCAUGUCCCCUGCAUCGGCAGGCGGACUCUCAACCACUGCACCACCAGGGAAGCCCAACUACACUUUUAAUGUUGGACUACUGAGAACUUUCAGGCUCCAAAUCUCCUCAUUCACCUCUUGCCUUACAUCUGGACAAGCAGAUAAAAAAGCCUGAUUGCUCUGUGCCUUGGUGCCUAUGGGAGAGUUCAAACCAUGCAAAUUCCUGGCCUAUAUGUGGAAACCCUCAUUUGGCCCCCACCCCCUAAAUUCAAUAAAAACAAUAGUUGCCCCUCCUUUCACUGAAGCCAUUCUAGACCAGAUUGGGUGUCUUUCAUGCUCUCCUCA